UACGUAGGGUGCAAGCGUUAAUCGGAAUUACUGGGCGUAAAGCGUGCGCAGGCGGUUUUGUAAGUCAGAUGUGAAAUCCCCGGGCUUAACCUGGGAACUGCGUUUGAAACUACAAGGCUAGAGUGUGGCAGAGGGGGGUGGAAUUCCACGUGUAGCAGUGAAAUGCGUAGAGAUGUGGAGGAACACCGAUGGCGAAGGCAGCCCCUGGGUUAACACUGACGCUCAGGCACAAAAGCGUGGGGAGCAAACAGG
rnacentral:rRNA from 1 species